CUCUUUCAGUUUAAAAGUAUAGGCCUUUCAUUUUGUAGGAUGAUCAUCCACCUGGGUGUGUCCAGUGUUUACCCAUGGCCAGACUAGAGCCAUAGAUUCUUGGAAGGAAUACUGCAACAGUGAUUCUGUGCUCUUUCUUAGCCCAUCGCAUCAGGAAUACAAGGCCAACCCGUCCCACCACUGGUGACAUUUCCCUUGAUCACUCGUAUUUGGAGUCUGCCAGUUUUCUCGACUGUAAAGUCACCAGUCCUCCCUUUGCAUUUGGUUGGUUAUUUUGUGCAGAAAUAUUCUGAGAUUAUGCCAACACCUGUUCCUCACCAAACUUCUACCUACCAGCCUUAGCAUCCAUUGAUGACCUCGUCUCUAUCAGCUACCACAGAUUGGGCUGCCAAAUGGGGAAGCUGGCCACAUUGUAAGAAGUCGGACUAUGCUGAGACUGUCAUGAUGACAGAAAACCCAAGCUAGCCAGGUGGAGAGAUCACACAGAAAGAGAUGCCUGGCCAGCUGUUACCUGAUAUGCCAUCAUGCAAGAAGAUAAAGGAAGGACAGAGGUUAAACUAAGAGAUGCAGAAAUUAUAGUAUAUCAGCCAGGUGUGGUGGCUCAUGCCUGUAAACCCAGCCCUUUGGGAAGCCGAUGCGGGCGGAUCACGAGAUAUUAAUCCAAGGAACAAUACUGACGAAUUUCACGGACAAAAUACUAAGAAGGAAAUCAAGUGAAUCAAGCGGAGAAGAAAGACAGUGGAAAAAGAAAACUGAAAAUAAAAAUAUUUUCUAGACCCCUUGAAAUAAAGUUUGAAAAACCACAGUGCUUUGCAAAAUAUCACAUUCAAUUGCUAGCUAAAAAAAAAAUUCAUUGGAAGUGCCAUUGGGACAGCAGAGGAUGAGGAGGUCUGGUAAGGUCUCUGGCUGGUCUUGUAAACCAUACCCCAGGGUUGGGGCCAGGGUUUUUAGGCUCAGGCCUCUCUGAUAUGGUAGGAAGGUAUGAAGAGAAUCUUUUCAUCUAUUUUUUAACCAUUAAUCUUUCUCAAUGCAGCAGGAGACCAUGGGGGUCCUGGGUCUGGGGGUCUGCUUUUCUUCCGAAGCUCAGCCAGGCUCAGUAUCAAGGAGCUGACAUCAAGACACUAAUUGUGAGGGAAAGGAGAGAACAUCUUUAGAUAAGCCUACCUGCCCUGUGAUUGCCUGUGAUGGGGUUCAGGACACACUGGCCCCAAAUAUGGCACCUUGGCAUGGGAGAAAAUGGCAGAAGCAGGAAGGUCUCUCUCACCUUCCCCUCGCCCUUCUCCCUUGAAUGUUGAUGAAGAUAUGAAAUAAGGUUUGCCAAAUUACCUGCUGUAUUUAUGACCUCCCUUGAAGCAGGUCAUAAAGCCAUCAUUCCAGAGAUGCCCUCCCCAUACCCAGACCAAAGAAGGCUCCUUAUUUCUGAAGACACAGGGACACAAAGAGGAAUCUGAACAAACAGGCCUUACUAAGUUUUCCCCAGUUAAUUCCUAUUGGACAUGCCCUUUUUCCAUUCAUACUUCUCCACAAGCAUUCACUUCUUCAAUGACUUACACAAAAAAUAUACACAGGUUUAGUCCUUUCUUUGGGUCUUCAUUCCUGAAGGCUGCUGUGCCACAGAAAAUGUUAAUGCUUUUCUCUUGUUAAUCUGUCUUUUGUUAUAAAUGCCUCAGCCAUUAAUCCAAGAUGGAAAAGAAAAAUAUUCCUUUUUCCUGCUCCUAAGAGCCACCUAAUGUGUUGCAGACCAAACCCACAGCAAUCCUGUUAUCUGGGAGUUCAUCUGUGAUCUUGAUUAGAACUAACAUAGGAAAUAGAUAGAUGUGAGUUGCUUCCAGAAUAAGAUUAGAAUAUGAAAUCACAUUUAAAAUUUAAAAGCAACAUGUUAGCAACGACUCUAACCACAGUUCUCCCUUCUUUUUCAAAACCAGGGGUCUGGUCCAGAUCUUGUAUUGCCUGAAGAAGGUCCUAGGUACUACCUUUCCUGAAAGAAAGACAUGGUACUAAAGCUCCUCCAACCCACCUUUGCUCUUCUCUUACCUCAUAAAAUAGCGAGCAUCAAAUUAUUUGAGGAAAAGCAUUUAAGAAUUUUUUUUUUAGGGACAAGUUCUUGCUCUAUCGCCCAGAUUGGAGUGCAGUGGUGUGAUCUCAGCUCACUGCAGCCUCAAACUCCUGGGCUCACGCAAUCCUGCCACCUCAGCCUCUUGAAUAGCUGGGACUGCAGGCAUGCACCACCAUGAUUGGCCAAUGUUUAAAUUUUUUUGUAGAGACAAAGUCUCCCUAUGUUUCCCAGGCUGGUUUCAAGCUCCUGGGCUCAAGUGAUCCUCCCACUUCAGCCUCCCAAAGUGCUAGGAUUACAGGCAUGAGCCACCAUGCCUGGCUGGGUAUAAGAAUGUCAAUAUGCUUAGGUUUAGAUACAGUUUAGUGUUUUUCAAAUGACAGAUUGCAAUCCCUUAAAGGUUAAUAAAAUCAAUUUGGUAGGUUGCAAACAGCACUUUAAAAACAAAACAAAUAAACAAACAAACACACUAGUAUCUGAUGGUAGAUCUUGUCUUGUCUAAAGCCCUGCAGCGUGAGGCAUAUCCAGAAAAGGUCAACCCUGAGUCCCAUCUGGAGGGGCAUCCUCUCUAGGUCACCAUUUGUCACAGUCAGUUUUAGGGCUUGAGGAAAUUUAAUUUCCAUUUCAGAAACUCACUAAUCUAGUUGUGACCAAACUUUUUCCUACCAAUCUAACCAAGUUUGCUUAUAAACAAUCACACUGAGACCACAGCCUUCUUCCCCAACGUAGGUGCAGAUGAAAUAAAGAAGUUUAGAGCAGUUUUUUCUAACGUGGGCUCUGUAAUAAAAACCUGCUACAGUCAAAUAUUUGAGAAACCCUCCGUACUGUUAUCUUCUCUUAUAGAUUCCUAGCCUAUAAAAGAAGAGACCCAUUUAACUUUGUUUAACCCGUUAUGUCCUAAACUUUUUUGAUUGUGGAGUAACCUCUCUUAACAAUUCCACUACCCUAGCCUGAGCCCUUAGCCUGAUAGCUACUCCCUUUUGGGCUGACUGCAGCUGCCUGCCUCUUAGCUUUGUGACUACUGUCACACAACAUACGGUCUUUACUCAGCAGCCCAUACUAGGUCCUCACCAAUUUCUUGAUGGAGUACGAAGUAAGGUUUGCCAUAUUACCUACUCUACAAUUUGGGGACUUUAACCAUUGUAAGCCCAAUCAUCACUCUCACUUCUUAGCUUUUAUUUAAAGAGUAAGUUUGUAUUCUAAAUUGAUUUCUACAACUGCUGUUUAUGGAAUUAAGAUGAAUCCAGUGGUGGUCAGCUGAUCACUGUGGGUGAAGUCUGUUGGUUGCUUUUUACAGUAUUUUAUGUUCCUUCUUCUCUUGCUUCCUGUGUGCUGUGCUGUGAAGCAUGACAGAGCACCUGCCUGUGUGUGCACAGCACCGUGAACUCAAUCUUUCAGUCACUUUCUUUUCUUUUCAUGUUUAAAUAAGAGAUAAGCCACGUUGGCCAGGGCAUGUGGACUCUCCAUGGAGUUCACUAACAAACCGAAUUUAUGUAUCGUUGCAAAAUAGUCAACACUCCAGUCUGUUAGAAACAGGUGCCAAGAGAGGAAAUGUUUAAUAUUUUCCACGUGGCAUGGGCUCUGUCAGACAGUGUUUCCAACCAGAGUCUGUUUUCGCAGUUAAAUCAUAGGUUCAGAGUCUUCCUUUUGCCUCAAGAGUCUGUCUGGUGGCUGGCUCGCAGCUAGCUUCUGCACAAUCCCCUCACUCUGACCCUGCAUCUUCAAUGCCGCCAUUCUGCCAAACCGCUGCUACUUCUGGUAAGAGCCAGGGUGACAUACCUACCUGCCCAGAGCCACCCUUGACAGGAGACUCAGGGAGAAGUGCCCCCAGGACCAAAGCACCUGCCCAGCCCACUGGAAGAAGGAAGCUUACAAUUCUGUAUGCUUGGAACCCACCAAAGCCUGAGGCCUCACUGGCACCCAGCCAUCCACAGGAGUUAGCAGCUGUUUGAGUCCAGAAGGAAGAACUUUUGGAGUCGGAGACAAAUAAUGUUCACCACUCCACUUCCUUGUUCCUUCACACCUGCUACUUUGGAUUCAGACGAGAAGUUCCAAGAAUCCCUGAGUCCACAGCAUGACUCUGGUUUGCAGAACCUCUGUCCAGACCAGCCAGAUCAGAAUACAAAGGAAAGUGACACAUCCUGGAUCUCAACCCACUUCGAUGGGAAGUCUUCCUGAUAAAUUUAGAGAUAACCUAAAGCCCUUGGGGACUUCCUCUUGAUUUGAAUCUGCUGAACACCUGCCGCACCCCCACCGCACCCCCCCCCCCCGCCCCCCGCCACCGCAGAUGAAAACAUCAACUCUGCAGAAUUAAUGGAUAUGGGAAUCACCUGGGGACCUCUCAUUAAAUUGCAAAUUAUGAUUCAGAGGGUCUGGGGAGGGACAGAGACUCUGCAUUUCUAACAAGCUCUCCGGUGGUGCCCACGCAUCACCGGGGCCGGAGAACCUUCCAUCAUUCCAGCAAUGCUCACCAUCACUGCCAUUCUUGCUCUUCUUUCUGGGGCCGUUGCCCAUUUUCUCCAUGGUAUCCUUCUUUUUUCCUAUUCUUUUCCUCUUUUAAUCCUUUUUUUCUUCCCAGCCAACUCACUAUUCCUAUAUCCCUGCUAACCCUCAAUGCUCCUUCACUCAAAGAUGAAGAAACUCCUGCCCUUUCUUCCUCCAGACAUUCAUCUCCCUCCCUCCCUCCUCUCCUCAGCUUUGUAGUGCCAGGAAAAGAAAGAUCACCAUUUACUGACAAUUUUGUGUGAAGCACUGUCCCAAGUGCAUUACCCAUAUUACUUAACUCUCACAACAACCCUGCAAAGUACACAUUAUUUCUGCCAUUUUAGACAUGAGAAAAUUGGGACUUGGGGUGGUUAAAGAAAUCUUGUCCUCAACCAGGAAGUAGUGAUCUGAGAUUAGAAUUUAGAUCUGUCUGAGGCCAAAGUCUACAACUUCUAUACUGCACCAUGCUCAUAUAAGGUGAACAAUCUAGAAGGCAGCUGGUAGGAGUGGCUUCAGUAAAAAGGAAUGGAAUACCACGAGCUUCACCCCAUUUAUGCAUCCUGAACCCUUCACUCCACUUUUGUUAAGUACAUGCCCUAUGAGACGGUUUGACAUACCAAUAAUGAGAGCUGUUUCAAGAAUGCCCAGAUUAGCUAGGAUGGUUGGGACCUAAAUAGCACAGUAGUAAUAUUAAAGCCCAAAGUUGCCAAUAUGCUCAAUUUUCAAUGUAACCUUUUAUUAUAAAUUAAGACCCAUAACUGUACACACAGAGUCUGUUACCAAAAAAGAAAUUCCUUCCAUUGGCCAAUUAUUC
rnacentral:lncRNA from 1 species